rnacentral:lncRNA from 1 species
GUAACUGCCCCCUGGGAACUUGUAUACAGCAAAAUGGAAAGCAGAGGCUGAUUUCUUUCUACUUAAUCUGUGUGGGGCCAGGGAGAAAACAAGGGGUUCAGCACGGAGUCUUUCUUCCCUUUGGGGUCUGGCUAGGGAAACAGAUGCACAUGUCAGGCAAGUUCAGGAGACCUUUUAAUAAGCUCUCUGCUCCCUUCCCAUUGGGAUCCCAUCUCACAGCCGCUGGGCUCCUAACUCCAGGUAGCAACCACUCUAUAGCCCCGUCUGGCUCCUUUCCCAAGGAAGAGCAGUAUCCCACCAUUGUCCAGGAGCAGGGCAGCGUCUGUGAACAGGGUCUCACACUGUGUCCCAGACUGGUCUGAAACUAUCUAUGUGUAGCCCAGGCAGAAGUGGCAUACGCAGCAAUUCUCCUGUCUCAGUGUCCUGGCUGCUGAGCUUGCAGGCUGACAUUUUGAUGCAGGAUCUCCCAGUGACCAAUCAGGCUAGACUGACCGGCAAGCAAGCUCUCUGGUGCCUGGAUUAUGUGCCUGGAUUAUGAACGCUCAUUACCACACCUCGCUUUGGUUUCAUGAAGGUUCUGGGGUCACACUCACCCCCACUGCACAGCCACCAUCAGCUGUGUCCUCUGGACAUUCUGACAGGUUGUUAGAACUGUUUCUGAGAAAAUAUGAUUCCCCACCCCAGCUUCAGCAUGGAUCCGGGCACCCCUGACAUUCAGUGGCACUCACUUCUGCUAAUAGGGAUCUUAGAGAUGAUCUUGGAGACGGAAGGCAUCAGUCCAAAAUGGCCACACAGCAAAUACAAACGGUGAGCCAGACAACUUGUCUCGGUGACACCUGAAUCAAGGCAGGGACCUUGUGUCACAAAGGGAGCAGCAGCCAUAAAUAUCCACAGUGGUGUGAAAUACCAGAAUGCUCUCCACAGCCCAUGAAAUGGACAUAAAUGUUUACUUCACACUAUAAUUAUGAAGAGGGGCCAUGGAUCGCCAUAAAACCCUAAAGAUUGAUGCUAAACCAACCACCUCCUUAGUAUCAUAAAUUCUGCCUGCGGUUAUAUGCAGUAUUUAAUAAACAUUAAUGAAAAUUUUGUUUAUAACACAUUUUUUUUUAAAAAAAUGGGGCUGGUGAGAUGGCUCAGUGAGUAAGAGCACCCGACUGCUCUUCCGAAGGUCCGGAG